rnacentral:rRNA from 1 species
CCCUUAGAUGUUCUGGGCCGCACGCGCGCUACACUGACGGAGGCAACAAGCCUAUCCUUGGCCGAGAGGUCCGGGUAAUCUUCGAAACUCCGUCGUGAUGGGGCUAGAUGAUUGCAAUUAUUCAUCUUCAACGAGGAAUCCCUAGUAAGGGCGCGUCAUCAACGCGUCCUGAUUACGUCCCUGCCCUUUGUACACACCGCCCGUCGCUCCUACCGAUUGAAUGGUCCGGUGAAAUCUCGGGACGGCGGCUUGGUCGCUUGCGUCCGACUGCUGAAACUUGAUUAAACCAUAUCAUUUAGAGGAAGGUGAAGUCGUAACA